rnacentral:sRNA from 1 species
AAUAAAAGACCAAAAAAAAAAAAAACUCACGAGAGGCGCAUCGGCGGCGGCGCCGCCACAGGGCCACCGGCCGCCGUCGCCGGCGAUCUGCAGGGUCAAGCACUCAAGCCCCCGCAGCCUGCUUCCCGCCGGAGACCUCGUGGGGUUGGAUCUGGCAUGCUGCGUGUAUGCAGGGCAGGCCAGCAUGAUCCACCAUUGAAGGAUCGUGCGCUGAUUAUGGGAUUAAACAAGUGCGAGGUCACAUGGCCACUUUGAAAUCAAACAUUUAGGUUCAGAAAUGGACAGCAUUAAGCAGUUGAAAGUUGAUUCCAUCUACUUAUAACUUAUUCUAGUCGAAUCUCUCUCUUUUUUCUCUAUCUUCCUGAGAAGAGAAAUCGUGUUUCACUUGCAACAAUAAUUCACAUCUUCUGUUUUUUUCAUGUUUUUUUUUUGUUACCCAUAGUUUUAUGGACAUCAGCACAUCACAAAAUCACAUCAUCAGAUACCACUGAAAUCAGAAAUCAGAAGCAUGUAUAAAUGAUUGGAGAUG